rnacentral:tRNA from 1 species
GCCCUGGUGGUGGAAUUGGUAGACACAAGGGAUUUAAAAUCCCUCGACGUUCGCGUUGUCCCGGUUCAAGUCCGGCCCGGGGCA